UGUCCAGUAGCACCUUAAAGAUCAACUAAGUUUGUUCUGGGUAUAAGCUUUCAUGUGCUUAUAACCAGAACAAACUUAGUUGGUCUCUAAGGUGCUACUGGACA